GGCGGGAAUGAAAUAAAUCAUAUUUUUAAAGAUCAAAACAAUACGAGUCUAAAACUCUUGAACCUGUAUUUGAUAGAUACAAAUCUACUGUUUAACGUGAAACAAGAAUUAUGCUUGUAGGCUUGAUAUAAAGUAUUUUUUGGAGAGUUUAUAUAACAAGCACAUAUUAUGUUAAUAUUCGGGAAAACACGAAACUGAGGUUGCUAUAGCGACAAAACUAAGUCGG
rnacentral:lncRNA from 1 species